rnacentral:rRNA from 1 species
CCUACGGGAGGCAGCAGUGGGGAAUAUUGGGCAAUGGGCGAAAGCCUGACCCAGCAACGCCGCGUGAAGGAAGAAGGCUUUCGGGUUGUAAACUUCUUUUGACAGGGAAGAGCAGAAGACGGUACCUGUCGAAUCAGCCACGGCUAACUACGUGCCAGCAGCAGCGGUAAUACGUAGGUGGCAAGCGUUGUCCGGAUUGACUGGGUGUAAAGGGCGUGUAGCCGGGCUGACAAGUCAGAUGUGAAAGCCGGGGGCUCAACCCCCGAACUGCAUUUUAAACCGUUGGUCUUGAGUGUCGGAGGGGCAGGCGGAAUUCCUAGUGUAGCGGUGAAAUGCGUAGAUAUUAGGAGGAACACCAGUGGCGAAGGCGACCUGCUGGACGGCAACUGACGGUGAGGCGCGAAAGCGUGGGUAGCAAACAGGAUUAGAUACCCCAGUAGUC